GACGAACGCUGGCGGCGUGCUUAACACAUGCAAGUCGAACGGUAAGGCCCUGCCUUUGUUACGUGCUCGAGUGGCGAACGGGUAACACAUACGUGAGUUACCUGUCCCUUCCUUUGGGCUCCCUUCAGGCAAAUCGGACACCUACCGCGACGACCCCCCUGCUCCAUGGUGGGGGUUGGAAUGUUCCGGCGGUUGGGGAUGGGCUCGCGGCUUAUCAGCUUGUUGGUGGGGUAGUGGCGUACCAAGGCUUCGACGGGUAGCCGGCCUGAGAGGGUGACCGGCCACAUUGGGACUGAGAUACGGCCCAGACUCCUACGGGAGGCAGCAGUGGGGAAUAUUGCACAAUGGGCGGAAGCCUGAUGCAGCAACGCCGCGUGCGGGAUGACGGCCUUCGGGUUGUAAACCGCUUUCGCCUGGGACGAAGCGUGAGUGACGGUAAUGGGAGAAGAAGCACCGGCUAACUACGUG
rnacentral:rRNA from 1 species